AAGCAACACUCUGUGGUAGAUAACUAAUUGUCUGCCUCAAUUUAUGCUUGCUAUAGUAACCAUAGUCUAACCUAUUCCAGUGGUUUCUGUAGAUGUGACCAUUUGUUAUAUAGACUUGAACAAA
rnacentral:snoRNA from 1 species